rnacentral:SRP_RNA from 1 species
GUCGGGUGUGGUGAUGGGCACCUGUAAUCCCAGCUACUCAGGAGGCUGAGGCAGGGGAAUUGCUUGAACCCGGGAGGCCGAGGCUGCAGUGAGUGAAGAUCAUGCCACUGUACUCCAGCCUGGGUGACAGAGUGAGACUCUGUCUCAA